CACUAGAUUCUAGUUUAUUGGUAUACAAUCUAUUUAUCUAAAUAAUACUGUUUUUGUCAGGGCUUUUAAAUUAUCU
rnacentral:tRNA from 1 species